ACAGAUUUGUUUUGUUUCAGUUUCUUACAGAGGGAAGUGAAAAUCCCUGUUGCUCGGAAUCAGUCAGAGUGCAGUACGAGUAGUUAGCCCCCAUUGGAGCGAUCUGAAAGCUUGGAUUAACUGAUGGGAAGGGAUUUACUGAGAAAAUGUUAAAGCCUAUUCUGGUUGGGAUUGAGAUUUGGUGGGGAGGAAUUAAUUCCUACUGUAGAUGGCUGGAGACUGCUGAACAGUAGCUCGCUGGGUUGGAAGCUCGCUAGGCUGGAGUCUCGGUGGGUUGGAUAUUCACUGGGUUGGGGGCUUGCUGAUCUUGUGAAGGGGAAGUCUACACAGGUGAGAGACAACACCGAUCUUGGAGAAUGCCGACCCCGAUAUUUCCACAGAUCCUGGAGACCAUGGUUUAAGGAUGAGCGUAUGCCCGUUGAAGUUCCAUGGAGCUUGGUUAAGGACCCUUUGUUUAUCUUGAGCUGACUGGAAUGUGAAGAGGAAGAGUUCAAGUUUUAAGAAGGCACAUAUAUAGAAGUGCAACCCAAGUACAAAGGAAGUACACAAAAGCAUACACCCAAGUAGCAAGAAGAUUCUGAGAAAUGAGAAUGAUAAGGAAAGUUUGAUAUGGCAACAAAUAUACAUAAUCAAAGCAAAAAAGGAUGUUUGCCCAACACAAGAAAUGAUGAGUCGAUCCAUUAAAAAUGAUGCAAAGGCAUGUUAACUAGAAAUUGAAGAGCAGUAGCAGGUAGGUUCAUUAUGACAUGAUGAACAUGCUCCCAAGUCUUAGCAUUUGACAUCUCAGAGCCUCUCAUCCUCUUAUAUAUUGGAGCUUUCUUUUCUUCAACAAGCUACAGCGGCAUCAGUUCCAGCAUUGAUGAUACCGACACAAUGAGGAAUCAAACACAAAAAAAUGGGAAGCUGACUGGUGAUAUCAUGUUUGAGUAAUUUGUAUUCUUUUUAUCUCGUGUUUAGGUGUGAAGGGUCUCAUCCAAAUCUUCUUCUUUUUUCUGCACAAGGUUCAAGUGGGAAAGCAAAAUCAUCUGUAUGUGUAAUUAAAAGACCUUCUGAUUAUUGUGAAAGAAGGAAUCAUACUCGCUAGGCCAUCACUAAAUUUGGUGCAGUGAAGUGUCUCCUCAUCAUUUGUAGUUAGUAU